ACCCGGCUGGCUCAGUCAGUGGAGCACAUGACUCUUGAUCUCGGGGUUGUGAGUUCAAGCCCCACAUCGGGUA
rnacentral:tRNA from 1 species